GACGAACGCUGGCGGCGUGCCUAAUACAUGCAAGUUGAGCGCUGAAGGUUGGUACUUGUCCCCACUGGAUGAGCAGCGAACGGGCGAGUAACGCGUGGGGAAUCUGCCUUUGAGCGGGGGACAACAUUUGGAAACGAAUGCUAAUACCGCAUAAAAACUUUAAACACAAGUUUUAAGUUUGAAAGAUGCAAUUGCAUCACUCAAAGAUGAUCCCGCGUUGUAUUAGCUAGUUGGUGAGGUAAAGGCUCACCAAGGCGAUGAUACAUAGCCGACCUGAGAGGGUGAUCGGCCACAUUGGGACUGAGACACGGCCCAAACUCCUACGGGAGGCAGCAGUAGGGAAUCUUCGGCAAUGGACGAAAGUCUGACCGAGCAACGCCGCGUGAGUGAAGAAGGUUUUCGGAUCGUAAAACUCUGUUGGUAGAGAAGAACGUUGGUGAGAGUGGAAAGCUCAUCAAGUGACGGUAACUACCCAGAAAGGGACGGCUAACUACGUG
rnacentral:rRNA from 1 species